UGCGAGAAGAGCUGGGUGCAGAUGCAGCACUUGUCGUAGUUUGAAAAAUAUGGUGGUCGUCGAGAGAUGAUCUCACGGAGUGUGGCGUCACGCCGACUGAUGGAAGCUCCCCCAGGGAUCGCGGCCACGGGGUCCGUGCAGCGCGGCACCUCCAUGCGCAAUGGGAGCUCAGACGUGCGUCCUGAGUUACGUGAAAAUAAAUCGCGCAGCGUUCGUGAGUGACACGCCACCCCACGUGAUGAUUGGUGACACACCAUCCCACGUGUUCGUCACAGUAACACAACGUCGCACGUGUUGAUGGGUGACACACCAUCCCACGUGUUCGCCACAGUAACACAACGUCGCACGUGUUGAUGGGUGACACACCAUCCCACGUGUUCGCCACAGUAACACAACGUCGCACGUGUUGAUGGGUGACACACCAUCCCACGUGUUCGCCACAGUAACACAACGUCGCACGUGUUGAUCGGUGACACACCAUCCCACGUGUUCGUCACAGUAACACAACGUCGCACGUGUUGAUGGGUGACACACCAUCCCACGUGUUCGUCACAAUAACACAACGUCGCACGUGUUGAUCGGUGACACACCAUCCCACUUUGCACACCUAUCGGUUUUGGUAUUGUCGUCGUAACUUUGUAUGCCCAUCCCAACUGGACAACUGUGAAACAAGCUUCAUAGAUCAUCGGAUUCCUCCAGUCUGAAUAAAGUUUCUGAUUUAUGUAUUGAUCAGUGACACACCACCCCACGUGUUGAUCAGUGACACCAUUCCACGUCUUCGUAAAUGACACGUCACAAGUGUUGAUAAGUGACACACCAUCCCACGUGUUCAUCAGUGACACACCAUGCAAUGUGUUGCUCAGUGACACCAACCCACGUGUUCUUAAGUAACACAACGUUACAUGUGUUGAUCGGUGACUCACCAUGCCACGUGUUCAUCGAUCUGCAGACGUGACACUCUUAUGUGGUUGAGGGUUAAUGACAAAGACCUUGGCUUAAACCUACCGCGUGACUUAACCCCUCCAAAAACAAAUAUAGAUCAAUCUAUCGGCUACGAAACCUCCGCUUAAAGUGAACUAACCAACACUAACCAACAACAACCAACACUAACCAACACUAAUCAACCAGUGGGCUCGAUGGGUUAGGGCAAUGUACACCACUUCUAUUUGAUUGGCUAUCGCGCUCUGAUUUGAAUGUGUUUAAUGUCCUAUGAAGAAAGGGCCAUUGCCGAAAACGUCGUCUAUUACAUGCACACGAGAUGUUUUUGCUUGUAAGGCUACGCAGUCUUUUUGACGAAUGUGUUGAUUUUGUUUUGUUUGUUUGCUAUGAAGCUGUUCUCCGUGCACCUCCCCCAUAGCAGCGCUCUCGCCCAUCGCGGCUUCUCGCGCUCAUCCCGGGACCCGUGCAGACGUCACGCCGAGCUCCUUUGUUCAUCCCGUGCCGGAGUCGUGCAUCAUCGCGCGUGCGGCACCAGACGAGCCCAAGGGGGGAGUGGGGGGGGCGGCGGCGGCGUGGGGAGGUGAGGGGAGGCGAGCGACAGAGUGGGGCGGUCGCCGUUCAUUCACGCCCGUGGAAUUCUAAUGCGUCCACGGUCCGCGUUGCCACGAAUAAGAAAGAGCCACCCAUUGUUCCAACAAUAAUACACGGGACUAUAAAUAGACAGGUGUGGGAGCGAGCGAGAGAGCGAGGGAGUCAAAGGGAGAGAGAGAGAGAGAGACGACGACGAGAGAGGGCGAGAGAGGUUUGCGAGGCGUAUGUGUGCAAAUGGGGAGCGGUGGCGCUGCAGUCAGCGCACUGGCACGGCCGUGUUCGCCUCGCGGCCACGGCUUGCAAACAGUGGCGAGCGGUAUCUGGACCUGCUCUGAAGCUGCGCCUAAGUUGACUCAGACUUAAAUCGCCGCCUGGUGAGGUGUGUAAUAACAGCAGCGUUGGGGGGGGGGGGGGGGUGUGACAAAAGCGGCCCGGGGGUUAUGAUGGCCACCUGCACCCCAACUUAGUGCGCCGCGCCGCCUGCCUAAAAUUAGGCGCUCGCUAAGGACACUUUCCCCGGCUGUCUGUUUAAAAAAAAUAAAGUCUUGUCAGAGCAUC